rnacentral:lncRNA from 1 species
GGCAUGGUUUUAUGGCAUGAAAAGUAGAGGAGUGUCCUCUCCUCUUUGGGUGAGCGCAAAAUCUAGAUUUAUAGGGUUUGAUUCUAAGGGUUUGAGAAGAGAGAAAAAGAAGAGAGAAGAGUGUCUCCUCUCUAUGUUUCUUCCAUAUCUUCAUCUCCUCUAGAUGUCUUUCUUUAACCUCUGAAAAAGUUUAAGAGAUUUGAAGAAAGAAUCCAGAUCAACCAAUAAAAUGGUCUUCGCGCGAGCUAGUACUCCCAAGGA